GUGCUCGCUUUGGCAGCACAUAUACUAAAAUUGAAAUGACACAGAGAAGAUUAGCAUGUCCCC
ensembl:snRNA U6 U6 spliceosomal RNA